AAGAAAUUUAAUAAUUUUGAAAAUGGAUUUUUUUGUUUUGGCAAGAGCAUGAGAGCUUUUACUGGGCAAGAAGACAAGAGAUGGAGAGUCCAGCCGGGCCUGCGCUUAAGUGCGCGGUCUUGCUAGGCCUGUAAGUUUCUUUCUUGCUAUUCCAAACGGUGAGAGAUUUCUGUGCUUUUGUUAUAGGACAAUUAAAACCGUUUCAAUACAACACACUGUGGAGUUUUCAUAUCUUUGCAACUUUUUCUUUGGGCAUUCGAGCAAUCGGGGCCCAGAGGUAACAAACACAAACAAUUUUAUUUAUUCAUUAAAUUUUUGUCAAAAACAAGAAUUUUCGUAACUGGAAAUUUUAAAAUAUUAAAAACUUUCAACAACGGAUCUCUUGGUUCUCGCAUCGAUGAAGAACGCAGCGAAAUGCGAUACGUAAUGUGAAUUGCAGAAUUCCGUGAAUCAUCGAAUCUUUGAACGCACAUUGCGCCCCUUGGUAUUCCAGGGGGCAUGCCUGUUUGAGCGUCAUUUCCUUCUCAAACAUUCUGUUUGGUAGUGAGUGAUACUCUUUGGAGUUAACUUGAAAUUGCUGGCCUUUUCAUUGGAUGUUUUUUUUCCAAAGAGAGGUUUCUCUGCGUGCUUGAGGUAUAAUGCAAGUACGGUCGUUUUAGGUUUUACCAACUGCGGCUAAUCUUUUUUAUACUGAGCGUAUUGGAACGUUAUCGAUAAGAAGAGAGCGUCUAGGCGAACAAUGUUCUUAAAGU
rnacentral:misc_RNA from 1 species